rnacentral:misc_RNA from 1 species
GUGAAAAUGACCUUUGUGUGAGCAUGUUGAGAAGACUGGAUUAAUCUAAUAGGGCUAAUGAGGAUUAUUGAUUUAUAUAUUUAGUUCCUUGAUGCGUAGUUUCUCAUGUUACAUGGUUAUGAUGCUGUGUAUCUUGGGUUUUGAUAUUUAUUUCGAUCUUUUUUAUGAUACCCAUGUCUGUUUUCCCCCUUUCAUUAGAGCAAGCUGCAAGAUUUGUGUGCAUGUGGAUGGAGUGAUGUAGCUGUAUUUUUCUGUUACAUCCCUGAUUGCAGCUAAGCCUUAAAUGUACAUUCAAUUCCUGCAUUGUUGGAGAUUUGAUAAUGCAUUGUAGAUAAGUUUUAAGUAUGGUUAUAUAUGAAGUGACUAAUGGUG